ensembl:misc_RNA
AGAGCAGCUCUGAAGAUAGAAGUCCUCUUUUAAUCCACAGGACAGGUACAACAUGGGCUCCAGGAAUACAAGCAACCCUGUUAAGAGUCCACCUCUGAGAAUGGGAGAGUUUUGUUCUGUUUUCAUGCUUGUUUCAGCCCAUGAAUUC